UUCGCCCUUAGAGUUUGAUCCUGGCUCAGGAUGAACGCUGGCGGCGUGCCUAACACAUGCAAGUCGAACGGACAUAAUUUGAAACCUAGUGAGAAUUAUGUUAGUGGCGGACGGGUGAGUAACGCGUGGGUAACCUGCCCCAUACCGGGGGAUACCAGCCGGAAACGGCUGCUAAUACCGCAUAAGCGCACAGCUUUGCAUGAAGCAGUGUGAAAAACUCCGGUGGUAUGGGAUGGACCCGCGUCCGAUUAGCCAGUUGGCGGGGUAGAGGCCCACCAAAGCGACGAUCGGUAGCCGGCCUGAGAGGGCGGACGGCCACAUUGGGACUGAGACACGGCCCAAACUCCUACGGGAGGCAGCAGUGGGGAAUAUUGCACAAUGGGGGAAACCCUGAUGCAGCGAUGCCGCGUGGAGGAAGAAGGUUUUCGGAUUGUAAACUCCUUUUAUCAGGGACGAUAAUGACGGUACCUGAAGAAAAAACUCCGGCUAACUACGUGCCAGCAGCCGCGGUAAUACGUAGGGAGCGAGCGUUGUCCGGAAUUACUGGGUGUAAAGGGAGCGUAGGCGGGACGGCAAGUCAGAUGUGAAAACUGAGGGCUCAACCUUCAGACUGCAUUUGAAACUGCUGUUCUUGAGUGAAGUAGAGGUAAGCGGAAUUCCUAGUGUAGCGGUGAAAUGCGUAGAUAUUAGGAGGAACAUCGGUGGCGAAGGCGGCUUACUGGGCUUUUACUGACGCUGAGGCUCGAAAGCGUGGGGAGCAAACAGGAUUAGAUACCCUGGUAGUCCACGCUGUAAACGAUGAUUACUAGGUGUGGGGGGACUGACCCCUUCCGUGCCGCAGUUAACACAAUAAGUAAUCCACCUGGGGAGUACGACCGCAAGGUUGAAACUCAAAGGAAUUGACGGGGGCCCGCACAAGCAGUGGAGUAUGUGGUUUAAUUCGAAGCAACGCGAAGAACCUUACCAGGUCUUGACAUCGUAUGCAUAGCCUAGAGAUAGGUGAAAUCCCUUCGGGGACAUAUAGACAGGUGGUGCAUGGUUGUCGUCAGCUCGUGUCGUGAGAUGUUGGGUUAAGUCCCGCAACGAGCGCAACCCUUACCUUUAGUUGCUACGCAAGAGCACUCUAGAGGGACUGCCGUUGACAAAACGGAGGAAGGUGGGGAUGACGUCAAAUCAUCAUGCCCCUUGUGACCUGGGCUACACACGUACUACAAUGGCAAUUAACAGAGGGAAGCAAAACAGCGAUGUGGAGCAAAUCCCGAAAAAUUGUCCCAGUUCAGAUUGCAGGCUGAAACUCGCCUGCAUGAAGUCGGAAUUGCUAGUAAUCGCAGAUCAGAAUGCUGCGGUGAAUACGUUACCCGGGCCUUGCACACACCGCCCGUCA
rnacentral:rRNA from 1 species